rnacentral:lncRNA from 1 species
GGGUGCUAUGUUAAUUAAACCUGGUGCCUUCUUAGUUACAUCCAAACAGUUGGCGUGCAUCCAAGCAUUUUGAAUUUUAUGUUUGGUGCUGAAUUUAACCCAAUGUCUGCAUUAUUUCUUUAUCAUUUUCGUACCCAUUUAUUAUUUUACGUUUGAUAAAGGCCAUUAGUUUGCAUUUUUAUUUGUUGUGUUGAGUAGUACAUAUAGGG